rnacentral:rRNA from 1 species
CCUACGGGCGGCAGCAGUGGGGAAUAUUGGACAAUGGGCGAAAGCCUGAUCCAGCCAUGCCGCGUGUGUGAAGAAGGCCUUCGGGUUGUAAAGCACUUUCAGUGGGGAAGAAAGCCUUGGGGCUAAUACCCUCGAGGAAGGACAUCACCCACAGAAGAAGCACCGGCUAACUCCGUGCCAGCACGCCGCGGUAAUACGGAGGGUGCGAGCGUUAAUCGGAAUUACUGGGCGUAAAGCGCGCGUAGGCGGUCUGAUAAGCCGGUUGUGAAAGCCCCGGGCUCAACCUGGGAACGGCAUCCGGAACUGUCAGGCUAGAGUGCAGGAGAGGAAGGUAGAAUUCCCGGUGUAGCGGUGAAAUGCGUAGAGAUCGGGAGGAAUACCAGUGGCGAAGGCGGCCUUCUGGACUGACACUGACGCUGAGGUGCGAAAGCGUGGGUAGCAAACAGGAUUAGAUACCCUAGUAGUC